rnacentral:rRNA from 1 species
AACGUAGGACACAAGUGUUAUCCGGAAUUACUGGGCGUAAAGGGAGUGCAGGCGGUUGCGUAAGUUAGGCGUGAAAGACUUCGGCUAAACCGGGGGAGGUCGUCUGAUACUGCGUAACUAGAGUGUGGUAGAGGCGUGUAGAAUUCCGGGUGUAGUGGUGAAAUGCGUAGAGAUCCGGAGGAAUACCAGUGGCGAAGGCGGCACGCUGGGCCAUAACUGACGCUAAGACUCGAAAGCAUGGGUAGCGAACGGG